rnacentral:ncRNA from 2 species
AGAAUUUCUCAGAAAUUCUGCUUCUAUGCAUACAUAAGCGCAAAAAGUGCCAUCGUAAUAUUAGAGUUUCUGUCACUUGCUUAGGUAUGAAGGUAAGCGUAUAUCCAUUUGCAAUAAAAAUAUGGUUAUGGUAUAGUUUUAUUGGAAAUGCUAACGAUUACCGAGGCAAAGAGUGGGGAAACCCGCUCUUUUGUAUUGAACAGGAGAAUUUUGUCUCG